AUACUAAUUACACUACUAUAAUUUUCAUGACAUAAAAGACAUACAUUUGUUAUAUUAUAAUUCAUAAGAGAAGCUUUAUGACUGAACCAAAACUAUUGGGUUUAAUGUCUGAGCCCAAUGACCUGGGCCAAGACACUUUUAAGAUUUUAUUUUUCCAUCUGAACUAGUUCGCAAGUUUGGCCCACUUUGAAUCAGAAAAAAGGCCUUUAUCCCUGAAGGGUUUUGACCAUAAUCUUGGCCAUUACACCAUUUAUACUUACGAAAUACAAUAACAUGAUGAUUAUAUUCUAACAAUAAUUAUUUUAAUCGUAGUAUAUGAAACCCCAAAGAUAAUUAACUAUAGUUCAUCAAGCAAGCCCAAACCUCUCAAAAAUCAGGAAAUUACAUCAUGGCUUAUUAAUACAUAAACUACUGCAUUGGGCUAAUUUUCCACAUUUAAACUUAUGAAAUAACUACAACAGCUAACCAUAUAACAAUUUCUAUUAACAACCAAGUGAACAUCCACUCCCUUUGGAUGUAACUGAUCCAUUAAGCUUGGUUCACCAACAUAAGGCUCUCAACUUCAGUACACUAUCAGCAAAUACAAGCAAUUUUGGGCUUUAACACAUACCGAUUUGGCCAAUUAGCGGCCAAAUUCAUAAGUUAUAGCCUACUUGACCUCCAAAAAUAUAAUAAACAUUACACUAAAGUCAUUUAUGAGCGAAAAAGGUAUGGACAACAGCUUUAAUAAAACGUUUAAAAAAAAAAGAAGUAAUGAAGUUUCAUCUUAAUGAGCUCAAACUUGGGACAUUUUAAAGGAAAACUACAAAUAUCAACUACCCACACAAAUAUUCAUCCUAGUACAUUUUAUAUCUUUACAAUCAAACUAGCUUACUUCAGAAUAGAUUAAUCAAACAACAAAAAAGAACCACUCAUUUACUACAAACAAUUUUGCAAGCUUUGAUAUUUUAUAACUUAUCAAACAAAAGCGAUUACAUAUGAUAUCUGAAUCAAUAACUUAAAGAGUGAAAACAUCAAGGGAUAAAAGAGAUAGAUGGAUGUGAUGAUCCGAUCCGUCGUCUCAUGAGUUACUACCCUGUUCUUCCCGGUUUCUUCUUUCUUAUAUUUCAUUAUCGGUAUUGGAUAUGUUAGAAUUGAUUAGGAAUGAUUUUGAUAAGAAAUGAGACACUUAGUCUCUUUUAAGAAUGCCUAAGUUGGAAAAGUCAAUCGGAUAUUGGCUUAUGAGUUAGAAGGUUCAGAAUUGAAUUUCGAUGAUUCGGUUAGCGCUGGGUGAUGAAUUAAGGCUUAGGAGCGCAAUCGGCAGUAAUUUUGGAGGUCCGAUGAAGAAGCUAGCCUAUUUUGGCGAAGUUAGUAUUUUGGCGAUUUCCGGUUGAUAGGUGAAAUUUGAUCCGGGAGUUGGAAUGGAAUUCCGAGAGUUGCUAUAGCUUCGUUAUGUCAUUUUGGACUUAUGUGCAAAAUUUGAGGUCAAUCGUACGUGAUUUGAUAGGUUUCGGCAUUGGAAAUAGAAGUUGGAAGUUCUAAAGUUCAUAAAUCUUGGAUUGGAGAUUGAUGCAUGAUUUUUGCAUUAUUUGAUGUGAUUUAAGGACUCACGCAACUGUGUAGUAUAUGGGACUUGUUAGUAUACUUUGUUGGGAUCCCAUGAGGCUCGUAUAAAUUUUGGAAGAGUUUUUAAAAGAUUUUUUACCGUUUUGAGCAUAAAUGUAAUGAUCUAAAGGUUUAUUUAUAGUUCUAGAGAUCCAAAUUUGAUUUCGAAACUUUCGAAAUUUUGAUAAUGAAUUAUAUGACCGAUCUGAAAAUUUUGGUAUAAUUUCAUCAAGUCGCGAUUAGGUUUUUGACGUGAAGCAUGAGUAAUUGUUUAACGAGCGAAAUGGAUAUCACACUGGGCAAAUGAUCCCGGAAUUGAGUUUCAAUUGAAGUGUUGUGUUUGUAUUAUUAUUUUUGACUCAAAGGAACAAUAAUCGUUUAAUUCCGAGUUCGUAGAAAGAGUUAGAGCCUUUCUAGUGAAAUUAAAGAGUGGUGGUGUAUCAAGUCUGAUGUGGCACUUUUAGCGACCAGAUUAGUAGCUUUAGCAACUAAAUUUGGGUCUUUAGCAACCAGAUUUGCUUAUUAAAAGUUGCUGCAUUUUUGCUAAUUUUUUUGGCCUAGUUGCUUGCUAAAUAACACGGCUUGGGGAAAUUUUUGAGCAAGAAAUCAUGGAAAAUCUUGAGGUAAGUCACUUGUGAUUAUUUCUACUCCAUAAUAUUGAAUUAUCAUCGAAUAAUUCGACUAGAUUACAUGUUUUUGAGGUGUAAAUUGGAGAUUUUGUACCUAGGGAUUUGAAAAUAAGAUUUGAAGAAUUGAAGAACUCCGAUUCUGGUAAAUUUUAUAUGGACUCGUGGCGAGACGAGGAAUCCGGUAAUGUGACUUUACGUUAUUUUUUGAGAAGUGGGCCCGAGGCUCGGGUUUUUCCAAUUUCAUUAUUUUCGAUAUUUUUCGAGUCUUUUCGAUUGGGUUAUAUUUCCUUAGCAUAUUGUGAUAUAUUCGCUCUGAAUUUGGAUAGAUUCAACGUGCGUGGAGGCCGACUUGAGGACCAAGGGCAUCGCGGGCUAGAGAUUUCGCCGGUUCGAGGUGAGUAAUGAUUUUAAAUGAUGCCCCGAGGGUUUGAAACCCGAAUUGCACAAUAUACUGCUAUGUUGAGAUGAGACACACGUUGUAUGACAAGCACAGAGUCAUUUACUAUUGGGGAUUGUGACGUGGUCCAUCCCAGUUGAUAUUUUACCACGUUUUUGAUAAAGAUUUAUUGUUUUUCACCAUGAUUUGGGCUCAUUGACAUACUUGGGCUUCGUGCAUAUUAUUUGAAAUCUUUUAUGAAUUUACAUCACUAUUUUUCCUCAUGAAUUGAAAUAUUAUUUGAAUUCAGUCCAAUUGAAUUAUAUUAUUUUAUGAACUCAGCCACAUUUAUACUCAACUCGAGAUUUAAUGAUAUUUAUAGUAUUGUUGAGCUGAGCACUAUUGUUUUACUGAUGUCCAAGGGGCUUAUGAUUGUUUUCUGGACUGAUUGAGGCCGAGGGCCGUACAUGAGGUUAUGUUGAGUGAUAUGAGGAUGCUUUCCGGCCUCGAGUGUUAUGUAAGGAGGCUUUCGGGCCUCGAGUCUUAUGUGAGGAGGCUUUCAGGCCUCGAGUGUGAUGUGUGAAGGCUUUCAGCCCUAUUGAUAUUGCCCUUGGGCUGUUGGAGCCCCUCCAGAGUUUGUACACACCCCCAGUGAACAUAGGGUACCCAGGUGAGUUGGGAGUGGGCUCGAGAGGCUGUUGUUUGUGUUUGGUGAGUUGGGAGAGACCCUGAGGGCCUGAUGUUGUGUGCUGGUGAGUUGGGAGUGAGCCUGGGGGCUGAUACUGUACUGUGAGUUUGAUAUUAAACCCGAGGAGCAAGUUUCUGAUUAUUCCUUACUUGUUGAAAUUAAUUGUCUUCACUAUUUAUAAAAGAGAAUUAUCUAGUACUCCACGGCUUCAUUGUAUAAUUCAUUUUACUGCUUGAGAUAGCGUUAUAUUGUGCCUUUAUGAGAUUCCAUGCUUUUAGUCGUUAUUUAUUAUUAUUACUCACUGGGUCAGAGUACUCACAUUACUCCCUGCACCAUGUGUGCAGAAACAGGUAUUGAUCACUGAUUGGUGCAGACUCAAACCUAAGAAUGAGUGGGCGCAACUACUAAUAAUCCAAUAGUGUAUCGGGGUCGAUAAUUCCACAGGGAGCUUCAAUUUGGAGCUUCAAUUCCACAUGGGUAUGCGAUCGCAUUGUUCUGGGAGAUUGAGCUAUGCGAUCGCACAAGGGGGUAUGCUUUCGCAUAAGGGCCUAGGGUCCUUGGCAGUGGCGUGUCCUAUGCGAUCGCAGGGGUGCUAUGCGAUCGCAUAGUUUUAUUUUGGGAAGGAGGAAGUUUGUGCUAUGCGAUCGCAAUGGAUGUGAUGCGAUUGCAUAGAGUAAUAACUGGGCAGACAGAAUGGUUUUAAGUGUUAUUUCAUCUGUGACCUAUCUCAUUUUUCAUCCAUUUUUGCACCACCUUGGGAGCUAGUUGGUAGAUUUUGAAGGGGGUUUUGACGGGAAUCGAUUGGAGGUAAGGUUUAUGAGCGUAAUACAUGAUUUUGUUGAAGAAUCAUCCAUUAAUUCUCUGAAUUUGGGUAUAGAAUUAAGAAACUAGGGCUUGAGUUUUGAUAUUUCAAAUGGGGAUUUGAUAGGUCAUUUGAUCUCAGAUUUGGGAGUUCUUGGUAUGUAUGAACUCGUGGCGAGACGAGGAUUCCGGAAAUGUAAGUUUUCUAAUUUUUUGAGAAGCGGGCCUGGGGCUCAGGUUUGCUAGUUUCGAGGUUCUUGCUAUAUUUCGAUGGCUUUCGAUUGGGUGUUGUACCAUUAGCGUAUUAUGAUAUAUUUGUACUAAUUUUGGUUAGAUUUGACGUGCGUGGAGGCCAAAUUUGAGGGGCAAAGGCAUCGCGAGCGAGGAAUUUCACUGGUUCAGGUUGAGUAAACUUGGGAAUGAUAUCAUGAGGGUUUGAAACUCUGGAUUUGCACAUCUUAGUGUUGUAUUAUGGUGACUUGCACACUAGACCUGAGCAUGGGGUAGAGCACCGUUGGGGAUUGUGACUUGGUACGUCCUGGUUGUUGGUUUUCACCGCUAAAUUGAAAAUGAUUUAUUGUUAUCAUUAUGACUUGGGCUCAUUACUACUUGGGGCAUAUUUUCGAUUAUUUGAAAUCUUUAUCAACAAUUACCAAACUUUUCCUCACUAUUUGAAAGAUUAUUUGAACUCAGUCCAUGUGAUUUAUACUGUUUCAUGAACUCAAUUAUAUUUUUCUCAAUCUUGGAGUUUUAACUGAUAUUUGAACUAUUGUUGAGCUGAGUAUUAUUCUUUUACGGAUGCCCGAGAGGCUUUUGACUAUUUUUGACUGAUUGAGGCUGAGGGCCUUAUGUGAGGGCAUGAAGAGUGAUGUAAGGUGGCUUUCAGACCUCGAGUGUUAUGUGUGCAUAUGCAUAUACAUGCAUGGAUCAGACUGCAUGCCGCAGUAGCAUAUUGCAAGGAUCAGGAUACAUGCCGCAACAUCAUAUAUAUCAAAUUUGAUUGGGCUGCACGUCGCAACAUUAUAUAUAUUAUAUUGGAUCGAGCUGCACUUCGCAUUAUUAUACAUAUUAGAUCGGGUUGCACGGUGCAGCACUAUAUAUAUUAUAUUGGAUCGGGCUGCACGCCGCAAUAUUUUUGCUCUUGGGCUGUUGGAGCCCCUCCGAAGUCUGUACACACCCCUAGUGAGCGCGGGGAACACAUGGAUCGGGCUACGCGCCGUAACGGUCAUGUGCAUUGCAUUGCAUUCACGCAUUCUCUCCUGUUUGUACUACGUGGCACGGCAUUUAGCACUCAUAUGUCAUUGGCAUACAUAGUGUUACUUGCCUUGUUGACCAGAUACCCUAGUGUUACAUGUUAAGGAGUGCUGAGCCCGAGAGGCUGGUCUUGGAUGUUGUCAGUUAGGAGUGAGCCCACGGGGUUGAUACUGUAUUGAGAGGUUGACACUAAGCCCGAGGAGCAGGUUUUUGAUUACUUUCUACUUGUUGAAAUUACCUUUGCAACUAUUUUAAAAAGCAUGUUUUCAAAAAAGAUUUUGAACUGAUCUUGAGAUUUCUAAAGGGAGUUUUCACAGUAUUUCAUUUUUUCUAAAAAAGGGUGUUCUGUCUUUUAUAGCGGUUUGGUGUGCUCAUACGUGUUUUCUUAUUGCCAGAUAUUAUUCUCUCUUAUUACCACUGAGUUGGAAGUACUCACUUUACUCCCUGCACCUUGUGGUCAUACGUGUUUUCUUGUCGCUCAGAUAUUAUUCGCUCUUAUUACCACUUAGUUGGAAGUACUCACUUACUCCCUGCACCUCGCGUGCAGUUGCAGGCACUGUUCACCCGGUAGCGGGUUAGUAGCGGAUUGAAGGUAUUGCUAUUGUAGCUAAGAUAGGUGACCGCCGGUGUUUGCGGCAUUGAGAUUAUUCCUCUUCUUUAUUCAUAAAUUAUUCUCUAUGUGUUGAAGAUUUUUAAAUUUGAUGAAGGCACUCCUAGAUGUUUGUGACUUGUGACACCCCGGUCGGGCUGUAUUGGGUUGUAUUUUUAUUGAUUAAUAACAUUAAUUCAUAUUCGAACUGUUAUAUAACUGACUAAUCGCUUUAAUUUGUGUAUUAAAACAAUCUGUCUGGCCUUGUCUUCACGAGAGGCUCCAUCACGAUUAGAUUUGGGAAUUAGGUUAUGACAAGUUGGUAUCCCGCCACGGGUAUGGUAUCGGGAUCGGGUGCCAUGCCGCCACGGGUAUGGUAUCUGGAUCAGGUGGCACGCCGCCACGGGUAUGGUAUCUGGAUCGGGUGGCAUGCCGCCACAGGUAUGUUAUCUGGACCAGGUUGCACGCCGCAACAGUGUGAUGUGGAGAAUAGUUUUCCUAUAUGUUACUUUGUAUACCUUGUUUCCUGGUUUAUGAGGAAAAUCUGUAUUGGGUGUUGCUCGGCAAAUGGCGCAUCGGUUGUGUCCUUUCAAGAUUGAAUAGUGUAAAAUACUUGGUUCACCAUUGGUGUGAUGGAUUGCUUGGUUUCAGACCUCAAUCUGUGCGUGGCUGUAUGUGUUGAGCAUGAUGACUUGAGGUGCUUCAUGGGUAAUAGUGCUUGGAUAGAAUCACGCGUUGUGGCAAGGACAUGUGAUGUUAUGACCUCUCGAGGAGGAUUCAAGUAAUUUAUUUCUAUGAUGUGAUAUGGGAUCUCAGUUUUUUGUUUUGAUCGUACAGAGGAAUUUGAAUUACAGCUCUUUCGUUUGGGUCAGUUGUAUUGGUUUGAGUGUGUUCAGAUCGUUUUUUAUUGGUGCCUGUGAUGAGCAUGUUGUGGCUUAGGCCGGUAUUGAGGUGUCAUAUCACUAGAGUGGCGCGUUGUAGUUGAGAUGAUCGUUGGGGUCGUUACUGAGUACGAGCACAUUUGAUUUCAGCCUGUGAGGAAGAUAAUAUCGAGGUUUGGCUCUGAAUAUUUGUUAUACUAUCAGUCAAGAAGGAAAUGCAUUCAUGAAUGGUUGAUCUAAGAGAUGGAUUUUGUUUAUCGCGUGUUUCAGUUGCCGUUCGCAGUGUAUAAAGUUGUUGGGGAUAAGACUUUGCCUAAUAAAAAGGUUUUUCUAUCAGUAUUUGGUUAUUGUGGGCAAUUGCUGUGAAUGAAAGUUAUCUCUGCAUAUGUUGAAUUAUGUGGUAUAUCAUAUGAUUGCAGCUGAGGUUGCAGGUAUGGAUUAUUACAGCAGGUUUGGGUUUACUCCGAGUAAAAAUGUGAGGUUCUCUCUUGUGUAAGAUUUAAGAGGAUGAACUUUAGUUCUAUGGCUUAUGGACUAAAUGGGUGAAAUGGGUGAAAGAAUUCAGCUAUAUUGUGUUAUCGGACCUAUGUGAGAUAGGGUGAUGUGGGAUCACCCCAAGUAUAUGCUUGGUAAGGUAAUUCAGCUAUUGGGUUGCUUCUAAUACAACUCUGGGUACGGUUGAGGACGAGCGUUUGCUUAAGUUGGGGAGGAUGUGACGACCCGACCUGUAGUCUUAUGUGUUGCUGCUCCGUUUAUAUUUUCUUGUGUUGCUUCAAGUUUCAAUAUCAACAUUAGAGUCGAUCGGGUGUAAUUGAACUAAUUUUUGUUAGAUUUGACGCACGUGGAUGCCAAUUUGAGAGGCAAAGGCAUCGCGAGCUUGGGAUUUCGCAGGUUCGAGGUGAGUAAUACUUGGGAAUGAUAUCCUGAGGUUUGAAACCCCGGAUUUGCACAUCUCAGUGCUGUAUUGUGGUGACUUGCACACUGGACUUGAGCGUGGGGUAGAGCACCGUUGGGGAUUGUGACUUGGUCCGUCCCGGUUGUUGGUUUUCACUGGGGAUUGUGACUUGGUCCGUCUCGGUUGUUGGUUUUUACCGCGAAUUUGCAAAUGAUUUAUUGUUAUCAUUAUGACUUGGGCUCAUUGACAUGCUUGGGGCGUAUUGCCGAUUAUUUGAACUCUUUAUGAAAUAUCAUCACAGUUUUCCUCACUAUUUGAAUGAUUAUUUAAACUCAGUCCAUGUGAUUUAUAUUGUUUCAUGAACUCAACUAUAUUUUUCUCAAACUUGGAGUUUUAACUGAUAUUUGAACUAUUGUUUGAGCUGAGUAUUAUUAUUGUAUGGAUGCCUGAGGGGCUUUUGACUAUUUUGGACUGAUUGAGGCUGAGGGCCAUAUGUGAGGGCAUGAAGAGUGAUGUAAGGAGGCCUUCAAACCUCGAGUGUUAUGUGUACAUAUGCAUAUACAUGAAUGGAUCGGAUUGCACACCGCAACAUUAUAUAUAUUAUAUUGGAUCGGUCUGCACGCUGCAACAUUAUAUAUAUUAUAUUGGAUCGGGCUUGACGCUGCGUUAUUAUAUAUUAUAUUGGAUAGGGCUGCACGGCGCAACAUUAUACAUAUUGGAUCGGGCUAAACGCCGCAAAAUUAUAUAUAUAUAUUAUAUUGGAUCGGGUUGCAUGCUGCAGCAUUUUUGCGCUUGGGCUGUAGGAGCCCCUCCGGAGUCGAUACACACCUCCAGUGUGCGCAGGGUGCCCAUGGAUCGGGCUACGGGCCGUAGCGGUCAUGUGCAUUGCAUUGCAUUCACGCAUUCACUCCUGUUUGUACUACGUGGCANNNNNNNNNNNNNNNNNNNNNNNNNNNNNNNNNNNNNNNNNNACGCAUUCACUCCUGUUUGUACUACGUGGCAUGACAUUUAGCACUCAUAUAUCAUUGGCAUACAUACUGUUACUUGCCUUGUUGACCAGAUACCACAGUGUUAUAUGUUAAGGAGUGCUAAGCCCGAGAGGCUGAUGUUGUAUAUUGUGAUUUGGGAGUGAGCCCGCGGGCUGAUACUGUACUAAGAGGUUGAUGCUGAGCCCAAGGGGCUGGUUUGUGACUACUUCCUACUUAUUGAAAUUAUCUUUGCAAUUGUUGAAAAAGCAUAAUUUCAAAAGAGAUUUUGAAAUGACAUAGAGAUUUUUCUAAAGAGAUUUUUCACAGUAUUUCGGGUUUUCUCAAAAGGGAUGUUCUGUCUUUUAUAACAGUUUGGUGUGCUCAUAUGUAUUUUCUUAUCGCUCAGAUAUUAUUCUCUCUUAUUACCACUGAGUUGGAAGUACUCACUUUACUCCCUGCACCUUGUAUGUAGUUGCAGGUAUUGUCCACCCGGUAGCGGGUUAUCCGCGGGACCGAAGGCCUUAUUGUGGUAGUCGUGUAAGGUGACCGCCAGCAUCCGUUGCAGGUACUGUUCACCCAAUAGCGGGUUAGUAGCGGAUUGAAGGUAUUGCUAUCGUAACUAAGCUAGGUUACCACCGGCGGUCGGAAAAAAGAUUCUUCCUCUUCUUGAUUCGCGAAUUUUUCUCUAUGAGUUAUAGAUUCUUAAAUUUGAUAAAGGCACUCCUAGAUGCUUGUGACUUUUGACACCCCGGUCGGGCUGUUUUGGGUUGUAUUUAUAUUGAAUCAUAACAUUAACUCAUAUUCCAACUGUUAUAUAACUGACUAAUCAUUUUAAGUGGUGUUUUAAAACAGUCUGGCUGGCCGUGUCUUCACGAGAUGUACCAUCACGACCGGACUUGGGAAUUGGGUCGUGACAGCUAGAGAUUUUUCCGGUUCGAGGUGAAUAAUUUUUAAAUGAUUCCCUGACGUUUUGAAACCGAAUUGCACAACAUACUACUAUGUUGAGAUGAGACACGGAUUGUAUAACAUGCGCGAGGUCAUUUACUAUUGGGGAUUGUGACAUGGUCCAUCCCGGUUGAUAUUUUACCGUGUAUUUGAUAAAGAUUUACUAUUUUUCACCAUGAUUUGGGUUCGUUGCCAUACUUGGGAUUUGUGCCAAUUAUUUGAAAUAUUUUAUGAAUUUACAUCACUAUUUUUCCUCACGAAUUGAAAUAGUAUUUGAACUCAGUCCAAUUGAAUUCUAUUAUUUUAUGAACUUAGCCAUAUUUAUACUCAACUCGAAAAUUAAUGAUAUUGAUAAUAUUGUUGAGCUGAGUACUAUUGUUUUACUGAUGCCCAAGGGGUUUAUGAUUAUUUUCUGGAAUGAUUGAGGCCGAGGGCCACACGUGAGGUUAUGUUGAGUGAUGUGAGGAGGCUUUCAGGCCUCAAGUGCUAUGUGAGGAGACUUUCAAGCCUCGAGUGUGAUGCGUGAAGGCUUUCGGGCCUAUUGAUAAUGUGCUUGGGCUGUAGGAGCUCAUCCUGAGUCUGUACACACCUAAGUGAGCGCAGAGUACCCAUGUGAGUUGGGAGUGGGCCCUAGAGGCCGUUGUUUGUGUUUGGUGAGUUGGGAGUGAGCCCGAGGGGCUGAUGCUGUGUGCCGGUGAGUUGGGAGUGAGCCCCGUGGGGCUGAUGCUGUACUGUGAGUUUAAUAUUGAGCCCGAGGGUCAAGUUUUUGAUUAUUCCUUACUUGUUGAAAUUAAUUGUCUUCACUAUUUAUAAAAGAGAAUUAUCUCAUACUCCACGACUUUAUUGUAUAAUUUAUUUUACUACUCGAGAUAGCGUUAUAUUGUGCCUUUAUGAGAUUUCAUGCUUCAGUCGUUUUUUUUUUAUUAUUCAUUGGGUCAGAGUACUCACACUACUCCCUGCACCAUGUGUGCAGAUGCAGGUAUCAAUCACCCGGUAGCGGGAUGUUAGCUGAUUGAAGGUAUUUUUAUUGUAGUUGAGCAAGGUGGCCACUAUCAGUCGCGGCACCGUAUCUCUUCCUUUGAUUAUAAAUUUCCAAUAUGUAUACUAUUGGUUUUAUAGUAGUGUUCAAAUUUCUUAGAUUCUCGUGACUUGUGACACCCCGAUCGGGUUAUGUUGGGCAAUAAACACUGGUUAUUAUUGUCGUUAAGCUGUAUUUAUCUAUGCAUUUUUGUUUAAUAAUUGUUAAAGAAACAAUUUGGGUUAGUUGGCUGGCAUUGUCUUCACGAGAGGCGCCAUCACGACCGGGUUAGGAAAUUGGAUCGUGACAAUGGCUGAAAAUUCAAAGAUGGAAUAGCAACCAAAAGCGGCCAGCAGCAUCAGGAAACACAACAUAGAAAAUCAAAUAGGUCCCACAAUUUAAACAAAGUCUAAUCAGCUUCUUAAACCAGAAUCCAAGCUAAAACACCCAAGAAAAUUAUCUAUUUAAAACCACGUUUUUAGCUUGUGAAAACCAAAAGAAUGAUGUUUUGAAGUUUUUUUAAGAUUUCUGAAAUCUGUUCUUUUUUCAGGAAAGGAAGAGAGACCUUUUUACGGUAAAAUGAUGUUGAAAUCUGUGUGUGUGAGUAAGGGAAUAUUUCCCUUUUAUAGAAUGCACAAUAAGAAAUCAAAAAGCAUAUUCUAACCUAAAAUUCUAAACUUUCAGGAUAGUUAAACAUCGUUUACAGUUGUAUGUCCUUUUCCUUAUCCAAUACUAGCAUUUUUAUGCUAAGGACAGGGACAGCUGUGAAAAGUCUAGAAUAUUCUCAUAUUUAGCCUACGUGAAAGUUCAUUUUUACCCCUUUAAUUAGCGCCCACUUAAGCUUUGUCCUAAGUUCUUUCUGUUCAAUUAAUUACAACUAUUUAAAAUCUUCAACUAAGUGAUUAAGUUGUAUAAUAAUAUUGCAAUCAUUAACCUAAGGUUUAAAUGGUUGUUCAGAGGCUCAAGCCUAAGUUUAAAAUCAAUUCAACAUAAGUAAUUAAAGCAUGCAGGCAAUCAAACACAAAUUCAAAAAGCUACUCAAAAUUUGCCUAAUUUGACUAAGGCCAGGUUGAAUCAGGCUAAAGCUGAAAUAUGCAAUUAAUUCCCAUUAACACUAUCCUAAUUAAACUAAGGGAUACUGAAAAAAAAACUUGCAAGAAUAAUAAUCAUGAAAGGAAUAAAAAGAAAAAAAACAUAACAAACAAACAAAGUUAUCUAAAAGUAAACAUGCAAAUUAAAUCCCUAACGAUGAAAUAUAAACCUAUAAAUAAUGAAACUAACAAAUAUACAGAAAGAGAAAAUAACCUAAGUCAUACGAUCAACCAAAAGGAAAUUAUCAGAAAAGGGGAAAUGACCAAAACUAGAAGAAAACUAAAUAAAAGGUUAUAAGAAGUUACCUAUCACUUGAUUUUAUCAAUAAUAAAACUGAAACGCCUUUGAAUUUUGGCCAAAAUUAUCGGGGUACGAAUGAACUUUAGUCAAUCAUGAAUCAACUGCUCUUAUCAAGGGCAAUGAAUUCAAGUAAUUCUGAGGUAAAAAAUCCCCAAAAGCUUCCGAAAAUUUCGGAAGUGAAAGAAAAUUAGGGUUCCAAAAUCUUGGAGUUAAAAUUCAAUGAAUCUGGAUCUGAUUCGAGGGGAACCAGAAGGAUAUUUUGGGAAGAGGGGGAGGAGGAGGUUGCAUGUUAUAAUUUUGGAUUGAUUUGGAAAAGUUAGAGUUUUUCGGCAUGAAUCUCGGAUUUGAAAUUUCAGAUUUUUGGUGAUGAUUUGAAUGAAACGAGUUAGAGAUUUGAAACGAGGAGAUGAUAAGGGUUAUGGGAUGUUAAAUUGGGGAGGUUUGGAGGUGGUCCACUGCCAUAAGGUGAUUUCAGGCUGGCAGGCCACGACGGAGAUAUCGAAGGUAAAGUAGGGUUUCUUGAGUUAGUACAGGGAAGGUGAAAAUGAAAAGGGUAAUGGGGGGGGGGGGGGGGAAGUUUUCGGAUAAGGGUUAUGGGAUGUUAAAUUGGGGAGGUUUGGAGGUGGUCCACUGCCAUAAGGUGAUUUCAGGCUGGCAGGCCACGACGGAGAUAUCGAAGGUAAAGUAGGGUUUCUUGAGUUAGUACAGGGAAGGUGAAAAU
rnacentral:lncRNA from 1 species